rnacentral:rRNA from 1 species
AGGACACAUACAUAUACGCAACUAUUAGUGCACUAUAGAUCUCAAGCUAUGCAUCACGCGUGGAGCUCUCCAUAUGGCGACCUCAGCGCCCGAAUCACUAGUGAUUAGUUUAUCCUGGCUCAGACUAACGCUGCGGCAUCCUUCACAUCAAGCGAACGGCAGCGCGGACUUCGGUCUGGCGGCGAGUGGCGAACGGGUGAGUAAUACAUCGGAACGUACCCUGUUGUGGGGGAUAACUAGUCGAAAGAUUAGCUAAUACCGCAUACGACCUGAGGGUGAAAGUGGGGGACCGCAAGGCCUCACGCAGCAGGAGCGGCCGAUGUCUGAUUAGCUAGUUGGUGGGGUAAAGGCCCACCAAGGCGACGAUCAGUAGCUGGUCUGAGAGGACGAUCAGCCACACUGGGACUGAGACGCGGCCCAGACUCCUACGGGAGGCAGCAGUGGGGAAUUUUGGACAAUGGGGGCAACCCUGAUCCAGCAAUGCCGCGUGUGUGAAGAAGGCCUUCGGGUUGUAAAGCACUUUUGUCCGGAAAGAAAUCGCGCUGGUUAAUACCUGGCGUGGAUGACGGUACCGGAAGAAUAAGCACCGGCUAACUACGCGCCAGCAGCCGCGGUAAUACGUAGGGUGCGAGCGUUAAUCGGAAUUACUGGGCGUAAAGCGUGCGCAGGCGGUUUUGUAAGACAGGCGUGAAAUCCCCGGGCUUAACCUGGGAAUUGCGCUUGUGACUGCAAGGCUAGAGUGCAUCAGAGGGGGGUAGAAUUCCACGUGUAGCA